GUUUCCUACCCUGUGGCAGAUUAUCAAAAUAAUCUGGUACAACUAAAGCUUGCUACAGCAAGGAAGUCAAAGCUGUUCUGACACUCUCCCCUCUGUGAGAUGGGCUGUUACAUAAAGUGUGAAGAA
rnacentral:snoRNA from 1 species